GCUUGACAUUGGGGUUAAGUCGUAACAAGGUAUCCCUACCGGAAGGUGGGGUAUGGAUCACCUCCUUUCU
rnacentral:rRNA from 1 species